GAGUCCCUCUACUAAAUGUAGCAACACUAUAAAAAGAUGUUAUGAGAAGCUUCUAGACGCGGCGGGAGAACGGAAAAAGUAUGUAUAAAAUUUGAUCUUCACAUGGACUCAAAGAAAACUAUCUCAGUAUACAUAGUUAGUAAAAAACCUUU